rnacentral:rRNA from 1 species
CUGGAGCGCUUAGAAGUGAGAAUGCCGGUAUGAGUAGCGAAAGACAGGUGAGAAUCCUGUCCACCGAAUGACUAAGGUUUCCUGGGGAAGGCUCGUCCGCCCAGGGUUAGUCGGGACCUAAGCCGAGGCCGACAGGCGUAGGCGAUGGAUAACAGGUUGAUAUUCCUGUACCCGUUGUUUUUGUUUGAGCAAUGGAGGGACGCAGGAGGCUAAGGAAUGCAGACGAUCGGAAAUGUCUGUCCAAGCAGUAAGUCUGAAGAGG